UUUCGCAAUGCCCGAAAGGGUGACGAAGCGACGCCGCGUGUGGGAAGAAGGCCUUCGGGUUGUAAACCACUGUCAGGAGUUAAGAAAUGUAAGGGUGUUAAUAGUAUCCUUACUUGACUAAGGCUCCAGAGGAAGCCACGGCUAACUCUGUGCCAGCAGCCGCGGUAAUACAGAGGUGGCAAGCGUUGUUCGGAAUUAUUGGGCGUAAAGAGCACGUAGGCGGUUCUGCAAGUCGGCUGUGAAAGCCUUCCGCUCAACGGAAGAACAGCAGUUGAUACUACAGGACUGGAGUGCGGGAGGGGAGAGUGGAACUUCUGGUGGAGCGGUGAAAUGCGUAGAUAUCAGAAGGAACACCGGCGGCGAAGGCGACUCUCUGGUCCGUAACUGACGCUGAGUGUGCGAAAGCUAGGGGAGCAAACGGGAUUAGAUACCCCGGUAGUCCUAGCCGUAAACGAUGGGCACUAAGUAGAGGGGUUUUA
rnacentral:rRNA from 1 species